GUACAUUUUGCGGUAAUGGCAACUGAACACAUAGUGGGAUUCAAGGACAUAAUUCUGCAAACACCACACACACCUUUGAAAUUACUUCUUGAAAAAGGAAUUCCAGGUGUGUCACAUCAGAGAUUUUCACAAUGGUUAAUAGCUCUAUCACCAAAGCAAAUUAAGGUAGAACAUAAGGCAAAGUAUGUACUUCCACAACUAAUGCAAUAUGAGGGUAAACCCCAUGAAUGUUUAGCAGAAGUUGAAGAGAAUUUUCUCUCUCUUUUCAGAAAGGAAGCAAGUGAAUCUGAUGAACCUGUGUUUGUUGACGGGUCCAGAUUCUGUUCCGAUGGGAAGUACUAUACAGGUUAUGCUAUAUGGUAUCCAAAAUGAG